rnacentral:tRNA from 1 species
GUCUCCAUGGUGUAGUCGGUUAUCACGUCGGUCUCAUACUCUGUAUGAUCCAGUCCUAGAUUGGAGCGAUCCGAAGGCCGCGAGUUCGAUUCUCGCUGGGGACA